rnacentral:rRNA from 1 species
AAUUCAUUUAUGGAGAGUUUGAUCCUGGCUCAGGAUGAACGCUGGCGGCGUGCCUAAUACAU